rnacentral:lncRNA from 1 species
UAAGAUUGGCCCUGCUUACAUUUUAUGUUUGGAAUUGGACAUCUACAUAAAUAAAAAUAUAAGUGUGUAAAAAUACUCGUGCUAAUAAUAGAAUAUGUGGUCAAAUAACCCUACAUGCAUUACAUAUAUAGUUACUCUAUGAAGGUGUUAUCGCAUUAAAGUUUUUAUGCUAGUGGAUAAUGGAGUUAAUGCUAAACUUUUAAUGUGAUCUUUUGAAACAAAGCCUAUAAAAGUGAUAUCAUCUUAAUAAUUAACUAAAUACAACUAAAAAAACACAUCCAAAGCAAAUGCACUAUGGUCGCAUAGCCUUGCCACCUAAUCACUAGUGAAUAACCAGCUAAGAGAAAACAAAAGAAAGGAAUGGUUACCUUAGCCAACAAGAGCAAUUAAAAUAUCAUAUUUACCUUUAAAUUCCCGCACCUCCCCUUAGCAAAAAAAAACCCUUUAAUUUAUGUUUCUA